GUUGCUGCAAAAUCAGCAACCGGGCGUGAGAACCCGAACACACACAGGGCGACACAGACGCCUAAAGCGUCUUUUUU
rnacentral:sRNA from 1 species